CUUGCACUUUUACGACAUCGUCAAACAUUACCGUAUUACGUCGUAAACAACAAGUCGUAAAUUCUGGAAAAUUUAGUUACGCUUAUAAAGACCUUUCUGUUGAUCAGUGAGAUACAUUCGAAACAUUUGUUGCACGAAAUAAUAGCUUAUAAUGAAGGUUUUCACAGUACUUUUGGUGUUAUCUUCGGUGUUGUACUGCGUAUUUGCUGUUCCCGUUGACACGGGAGAUUCGGAGCAAGACAACGGCGCAAGAUGGUUUAAUCCUAAUGGGCAAAUUCCAUGCGUUAAUCAGAAUUAUCCAGGAUUCAUCAGUUACAAAUGUUUAAAAAUCUGCAUGGCUCGAGGAUUUACCGGUGGUACCUGCGAACUAGGAUUUUGCCAGUGCACAUAAAUUGAAAACCUCUUUGAUGUAAUGCUGAUCCACCAAUAAAAUUCUGCAGCCAAGUCAAAAUGUA